rnacentral:rRNA from 1 species
GAUGAACGCUGGCGGCGUGCCUAAUACAUGCAAGUCGAGCGAACGGACGAGAAGCUUGCUUCUCUGAUGUUAGCGGCGGACGGGUGAGUAACACGUGGAUAACCUACCUAUAAGUCUGGGAUAACUUCGGGAAACCGGAGCUAAUACCGGAUGAUAUUUUGAACCGCAUGGUUCAAAAGUGAAAGACGGUCUUGCUGUCACUUAUAGCUGGAUCCGCGCUGUAUUAGCUAGUUGGUAAGGUAACGGCUUACCAAGGCAACGAUGCAUAGCCGACCUGAGAGAGUGAUCGGCCACACUGGAACUUGAACACGGUCACGACUCCUACGAGAGGCAGCAGUAGGGAAUCUUCCGCAAUAGGCGAAAGCCUGACGGAGUAACGCCGCGUGAGUGAUGAAGGUCUUCGGAUCGUAAAACUCUGUUAUUAGUUAAGAACAUAUGUGUAAGUAACUGUGCACAUCUUGACGGUACCUAAUCAGAAAGCCACGGCUAACUACGUG